GGUGAUCGGGGCUAAGUCGUAACAAGGUAGCAGUAGGUGAACCUCAGAAGAUCA
rnacentral:misc_RNA from 1 species